rnacentral:rRNA from 1 species
GAUGAACGCUGGCGGCGUGCCUAAUACAUGCAAGUCGAGCGAACGGACGAGAAGCUUGCUUCUCUGAUGUUAGCGGCGGACGGGUGAGUAACACGUGGAUAACCUACCUAUAAGACUGGGAUAACUUCGGGAAACCGGAGCUAAUACCGGAUAAUAUUUUGAACCGCAUGGUUCAAAAGUGAAAGACGGUCUUGCUGUCACUUAUAGAUGGAUCCGCGCUGCAUUAGCUAGUUGGUAAGGUAACGGCUUACCAAGGCAACGAUGCAUAGCCGACCUGAGAGGGUGAUCGGCCACACUGGAACUGAGACACGGUCCAGACUCCUACGGGAGGCAGCAGUAGGGAAUCUUCCGCAAUGGGCGAAAGCCUGACGGAGCAACGCCGCGUGAGUGAUGAAGGUCUUCGGAUCGUAAAACUCUGUUAUUAGGGGAGAACAUAUAUGUAAGUAACUGUGCACAUCUUGACGGUACCUAAUCAGAAAGCCACGGCUAACUACGUG